rnacentral:other from 1 species
GGCGAAGCUCGCCUGCGCGGGCUA